CAGGAGAAGCAGCCGACGACGACUCCGCAGUUGCGGCUUCGUCGGAGAAAGCAAAUCUGAAAGCUGAAGUUUUGGUUUCGCCUUAUCGAGAGAGAAAAAAUCUUGCGUGUGUUCUCUUUGAGUAAUUACGAAAAGGAGAUCGAGGAACUCGAUAACAUGAAUAGGCAAGAAUUUGUUGCCAUGUUGAGGAGGAAUAGUAGUGGGUUUUUGGAGGGGAGCUUCCGUUUACAGAGGAGUUACAAGGCAUCAUCAACAUGGAAGAUGGCAAGCUAGAAUCGGAAGAGUUGCUGGAAACAAGGACCUGUACCUUGGCACAUUUAGUACGCAAGAAGAAGCAGCGGAGGCGUAUGAUAUCGCGGCAAUAAAAUUCAGAGGCUUAAACGCUGUAACCAAUUUCGAUAUAAACAGAUAUGACGUGAAGAGGUAUAUAGCAUGUAGUUUAAAUAUAUGUCUGCAUGUGUAUGUUAGUAUGUAUGCAAAUUGCUUUAAAUAUCUUGUUGAUGACGAAGUUGUUGUGUAUAGCUUUAUUAAAAUCGGCUCCAUACCUCACAGUCACAGAUAAAUGAUUUCAUCAGAAUCCACUUUACGUGUGUCUCUUCCCUCCCUUGC